AGAAAAACAAGAAACCAAAAAGCCCUACCUCAGUACCUCAGUCACCAAGAGGAUGACAUUAGGAACAUACUGUCAAGAAAAGGAUGAUGCGUGUGCUGCAAAAUGCAGGACAAUUCACUUUCCAGGUGGGGUCUGGGGCCUGUGGCUUCUCUGUGAACUUUCUUUGUGUGCUGUGGAAUAUUUUCCAGCUGCAGCCUAUUGUCCUGUGAUUAGACUCUGGGGCUCCACAGACUAAGACGGCACCUAGAAUGUGGUCCAGCACAUUGAGAAUAGAGCAGAAGAUGAAAGCUGGAGGGGCUGAGGGGCCUUGGAGGCAGAGUUGGGCUCAACUUCUCAUUCCCUGGGACGAACUGUGCACAGUAGCCUCUGCUCCUCCUUCUUCAGUGAAGACUGCGAUGCCUGUGUUGGGGCUCAGAAACCGAUACCCCAAAAUAUGAUGCUUUGUACAUGCUGAACUGAAACAGGAGCUUUAAGCUCUUUCAGGCCUCCCCACAUCUUACCGUCUCUCCCAAAGUGUAGGAUUCUCUGAAAGUCUUUGUCUGCCUAAAGUCCAGACCUACCAAUGAAGAAAACAAUCACCUCCUGCCCUUUGUCUGAGUUUUCAUGAGCUGAACCCAUAUUGCAGGAAGGAAGGCUAAGAUCUGUCAACACACCUGGGCAGACUUUUGUCACAAACCAUUGUCUGCUCUGAGGACCCAAAAGAGCUUGUCCCAGAUAAUUGCCUGUUCUUUAAGGCUAUUAAAUUCUCCCUGGUAACCAUUUACUGUCCUUCAACGGAAGUCCUCUUCUUCCCCCUCCCAUGACCUGUAUGACCAGCUCCCAUGCCCCCAUUCUUUCUGUAACCUCAAGAUGGUUUAUAAACUUCUGCGCCUCAUUGAGGGGUUGGGUCUUCAUUCUGAGGGCUCCCGUGUCACCUAAAGCUAUGGUCAGAUACAUUUGUAUGUGUUUUCUCCAAUUAAUCUGCCUUUCGUGAGUUGAUUUAUCGUGAAACUUCAGAGGAUGAAGGAGAAAUUUUCCCUUUGCACCUAUGCCUGCCACCCUCACAGGCUGUGUGAAGGUCCUUCUUCAAAAAAUACUGGCUAUUCUUGGCACUGACCUGGCCUCGGCUUUCAGGAAGAGAGGGGAGGCAGGCUCCCUUUCCCAAGACAUGCUGGCAGCCUGAGAGUCAAGGCCAUGGGGUGUUCACAGAUGAGGCCCCCUGAUAUUUACAUGUCUUAGGGAUCAGAAGUGGGCACAGCUGGGGCAGAGCGAGGAAGUGCUAACACCCACCAGGCAUCUGCGAGGGGACGCCCACAUCAAGAAAACCUCAGCACAAGGUUGAGUGUUUCAGCAAACCUCGGGGAGAUUGCACAUUUACUCAUGAAGAGACCACAUGGUGAGGUCAGCCCCAAAACCAGGCCAAUGUCUCUCAAGCCCAACUAGUUUUCAAGACAAUGUCUUGCAACUUAUAGAGUUUGGGGGGAAGGCAGUGUGAAGUUCAGGGGGGAAGGCAGUGUGAAGGUGAGCAUAUCAGUAGCUACCCACCAUGCUGGCUAAUCACUGGGAAAUUCUUUUAUAAACAGCCACAGUCUCUCUCAAGUUUUCCAAAAUUAGAACCUCUCCAAAUUUAUUUUUUUCAAGGCUUCAGAAAUAUCCCAUAAAUCUUUGAAAACGAAAAUUUCUUCUCUCUCCUCAGUCCUCACCCAGGGCUUCUGAUGCUGCCAGUCAAUCCCAAGUCAUGCUUGGUGUUUGGGGACCACGGCAGUGCAAAACCUCUGAGGGCCUGGGGAGAAGGAAUACCUGCAAGACUAAGAAUAAUGAAGGGAUAUAACAGAGGAUAGCCUCACUAUGCUCCUACUCCAGAAAAUUGGAUUAUUGUCUGCAAAGAUUCCUCAGUCUUGUGGACACUGAUGAAAUAUUGUAGACUGGAAUUGAAUCUGGCUUGUUGUCUGUUUGUUUAUUCCUGAGCCUGAUAAUUUAUUUGAACAACUUUGCCUUUCUAUAGUACAUGAUGAUCGGCAAGUUACUAUGACACGCAUUUGUACCCAUUGGACUCUGUGACCAUUCUGAAGAUAAGCUCUUGUCACCCUCCUCAUGGAAAAAAAUGGAGAUUCAUGAAAGUCAAAGGACUGGCCCAGGCUCUCACAGGCAAAGCUGGGAUUCCAACUUGUGUCUAAUGAGCCAGAAGCUCAGAGUCGUUUCCAC
rnacentral:lncRNA from 10 species